GGCAAGACAAGGAUUCCACCAGUGCCAGAUUGCAAAGGGAGUGUGGUCUGCUCAAACAAAAGUCUAUAAAGAAUAUCUCCAAGUGAAUUGAAACACAAGAUAUGACCAAAUACAGGGAGCAUGUAAGAAGAUGGACAUUAAUAUUCAGGGGAAGGUCUGGUGAGAGAUCUGAGUGUGGCCAUGAGGACAUCUGGGUGCUCUCUUGGUGCAUGAGCAAGGUUAUUCUGGGCAAAUCCUGCUCUGCUGGUGAGUAAAUGUGGAAGCUGGAUGCUGCUAAGCACAAGAUACUGCUUGUCUACUCAUAUCAGUUUGGCAAGAUUAGCCUGCCUCUGAGAGAAGAAAGAGUCUCCAGGUUGCUUUAUCUGCCUUUGAGUUGGAGUUUAAGAAGCCUUUGGACU